UUUUUAUGAGAGUUUGAUCCUGGCUCAGGACGAACGCUGGCGGCGUGCCUAAUACAUGCAAGUCGAACGCUUCUUUUUCCACCGGAGCUUGCUCCACCGGAAAAAGAGGAGUGGCGAACGGGUGAGUAACACGUGGGUAACCUGCCCAUCAGAAGGGGAUAACACUUGGAAACAGGUGCUAAUACCGUAUAACAAUCGAAACCGCAUGGUUUUGAUUUGAAAGGCGCUUUCGGGUGUCGCUGAUGGAUGGACCCGCGGUGCAUUAGCUAGUUGGUGAGGUAACGGCUCACCAAGGCCACGAUGCAUAGCCGACCUGAGAGGGUGAUCGGCCACAUUGGGACUGAGACACGGCCCAAACUCCUACGGGAGGCAGCAGUAGGGAAUCUUCGGCAAUGGACGAAAGUCUGACCGAGCAACGCCGCGUGAGUGAAGAAGGUUUUCGGAUCGUAAAACUCUGUUGUUAGAGAAGAACAAGGAUGAGAGUAACUGUUCAUCCCUUGACGGUAUCUAACCAGAAAGCCACGGCUAACUACGUGCCAGCAGCCGCGGUAAUACGUAGGUGGCAAGCGUUGUCCGGAUUUAUUGGGCGUAAAGCGAGCGCAGGCGGUUUCUUAAGUCUGAUGUGAAAGCCCCGGCUCAACCGGGGAGGGUCAUUGGAAACUGGGAGACUUGAGUGCAGAAGAGGAGAGUGGAAUUCCAUGUGUAGCGGUGAAAUGCGUAGAUAUAUGGAGGAACACCAGUGGCGAAGGCGGCUCUCUGGUCUGUAACUGACGCUGAGGCUCGAAAGCGUGGGGAGCAAACAGGAUUAGAUACCCUGGUAGUCCACGCCGUAAACGAUGAGUGCUAAGUGUUGGAGGGUUUCCGCCCUUCAGUGCUGCAGCUAACGCAUUAAGCACUCCGCCUGGGGAGUACGACCGCAAGGUUGAAACUCAAAGGAAUUGACGGGGCCCGCACAAGCGGUGGAGCAUGUGGUUUAAUUCGAAGCAACGCGAAGAACCUUACCAGGUCUUGACAUCCUUUGACCACUCUAGAGAUAGAGCUUCCCUUCGGGGCAAAGUGACAGGUGGUGCAUGGUUGUCGUCAGCUCGUGUCGUGAGAUGUUGGGUUAAGUCCCGCAACGAGCGCAACCCUUAUUGUUAGUUGCCAUCAUUCAGUUGGGCACUCUAGCAAGACUGCCGGUGACAAACCGGAGGAAGGUGGGGAUGACGUCAAAUCAUCAUGCCCCUUAUGACCUGGGCUACACACGUGCUACAAUGGGAAGUACAACGAGUCGCGAAGUCGCGAGGCUAAGCUAAUCUCUUAAAGCUUCUCUCAGUUCGGAUUGCAGGCUGCAACUCGCCUGCAUGAAGCCGGAAUCGCUAGUAAUCGCGGAUCAGCACGCCGCGGUGAAUACGUUCCCGGGCCUUGUACACACCGCCCGUCACACCACGAGAGUUUGUAACACCCGAAGUCGGUGAGGUAACCUUUUGGAGCCAGCCGCCUAAGGUGGGAUAGAUGAUUGGGGUGAAGUCGUAACAAGGUAGCCGUAUCGGAAGGUGCGGCUGGAUCACCUCCUUUCUAAGGAA
rnacentral:rRNA from 1 species